AACAGGAUUAGAUACCCUGGUAGUCCACGCCCUAAACGAUGUCAACUAGGUGUUGGGUGGGUAAAACCAUUUAGUACCGGAGCUAACGCGUGAAGUUGACCGCCUGGGGAGUACGGCCGCAAGGUUAAAACUCAAAGGAAUUGACGGGGACCCGCACAAGCGGUGGAUGAUGUGGAUUAAUUCGAUGCAACGCGAAAAACCUUACCUACCCUUGACAUGUCCAGAAGCUCUUAGAGAUUUGAGUGUGCCCGAAAGGGAACUGGAACACAGGUGCUGCAUGGCUGUCGUCAGCUCGUGUCGUGAGAUGUUGGGUUAAGUCCCGCAACGAGCGCAACCCUUGUCGUUAAUUGCCAUCAUUUAAUUGGGCACUUUAACGAGACUGCCGGUGACAAACCGGAGGAAGGUGGGGAUGACGUCAAGUCCUCAUGGCCCUUAUGGGUAGGGCUUCACACGUCAUACAAUGGUCGGUACAAAGGGUUGCCAACCCGCGAGGGGGAGCUAAUCCCAGAAAGCCGAUCGUAGUCCGGAUCGUAGGCUGCAACUCGCCUGCGUGAAGUCGGAAUCGCUAGUAAUCGUGGAUCAGCAUGUCACGGUGAAUACGUUCCCGGGUCUUGUACACACCGCCCGUCACACCAUGGGAGCGGGUUCCGCCAGAAGUAGGUAGCCUAACCGCAAGGAGGGCGCUUACCACGGCGGGGUUCGUGACUGGGGUGAAGUCGUAACAAGGUAACC
rnacentral:rRNA from 1 species